rnacentral:rRNA from 1 species
GGUUAAGCGACUAAGCGUACACGGUGGAUGCCCCGGCAGUCAGAGGCGAUGAAGGACGUGCUAAUCUGCGAUAAGCGUCGGUAAGGUGAUAUGAACCGUUAUAACCGGCGAUUUCCGAAUGGGGAAACCCAGUGUGAUUCGUCACACUAUCAUUAACUGAAUCCAUAGGUUAAUGAGGCGAACCGGGGAACUGAAACAUCUAAGUACCCCGAGGAAAAGAAAUCAACCGAGAUUCCCCCAGUAGCGGCGAGCGAACGGGGAGCAGCCCAGAGCCUGAAUCAGUGUGUGUGUUAGUGGAAGCGUCUGGAAAGGCGUGCGAUACAGGGUGACAGCCCCGUACACAAAAAUGCACAUACUGUGAGCUCGAUGAGUAGGGCGGGACACGUGGUAUCCUGUCUGAAUAUGGGGGGACCAUCCUCCAAGGCUAAAUACUCCUGACUGACCGAUAGUGAACCAGUACCGUGAGGGAAAGGCGAAAAGAACCCCGGCGAGGGGAGUGAAAAAGAACCUGAAACCGUGUACGUACAAGCAGUGGGAGCACGCUUAGGCGUGUGACUGCGUACCUUUUGUAUAAUGGGUCAGCGACUUAUAUUCUGUAGCAAGGUUAACCGAAUAGGGGAGCCGAAGGGAAACCGAGUCUUAACUGGGCGUUAAGUUGCAGGGUAUAGACCCGAAACCCGGUGAUCUAGCCAUGGGCAGGUUGAAGGUUGGGUAACACUAACUGGAGGACCGAACCGACUAAUGUUGAAAAAUUAGCGGAUGACUUGUGGCUGGGGGUGAAAGGCCAAUCAAACCGGGAGAUAGCUGGUUCUCCCCGAAAGCUAUUUAGGUAGCGCCUCGUGAAUUCAUCUCCGGGGGUAGAGCACUGUUUCGGCAAGGGGGUCAUCCCGACUUACCAACCCGAUGCAAACUGCGAAUACCGGAGAAUGUUAUCACGGGAGACACACGGCGGGUGCUAACGUCCGUCGUGAAGAGGGAAACAACCCAGACCGCCAGCUAAGGUCCCAAAGUCAUGGUUAAGUGGGAAACGAUGUGGGAAGGCCCAGACAGCCAGGAUGUUGGCUUAGAAGCAGCCAUCAUUUAAAGAAAGCGUAAUAGCUCACUGGUCGAGUCGGCCUGCGCGGAAGAUGUAACGGGGCUAAACCAUGCACCGAAGCUGCGGCAGCGACGCUUAUGCGUUGUUGGGUAGGGGAGCGUUCUGUAAGCCUGUGAAGGUGUGCUGUGAGGUAUGCUGGAGGUAUCAGAAGUGCGAAUGCUGACAUAAGUAACGAUAAAGCGGGUGAAAAGCCCGCUCGCCGGAAGACCAAGGGUUCCUGUCCAACGUUAAUCGGGGCAGGGUGAGUCGACCCCUAAGGCGAGGCCGAAAGGCGUAGUCGAUGGGAAACAGGUUAAUAUUCCUGUACUUGGUGUUACUGCGAAGGGGGACGGAGAAGGCUAUGUUGGCCGGGCGACGGUUGUCCCGGUUUAAGCGUGUAGGCUGGUUUUCCAGGCAAAUCCGGAAAAUCAAGGCCGAGGCGUGAUGACGAGGCACUACGGUGCUGAAGCAACAAAUGCCCUGCUUCCAGGAAAAGCCUCUAAGCAUCAGGUAACAUCAAAUCGUACCCCAAACCGACACAGGUGGUCAGGUAGAGAAUACCAAGGCGCUUGAGAGAACUCGGGUGAAGGAACUAGGCAAAAUGGUGCCGUAACUUCGGGAGAAGGCACGCUGAUACGUAGGUGAAGCGACUUGCUCGUGGAGCUGAAAUCAGUCGAAGAUACCAGCUGGCUGCAACUGUUUAUUAAAAACACAGCACUGUGCAAACACGAAAGUGGACGUAUACGGUGUGACGCCUGCCCGGUGCCGGAAGGUUAAUUGAUGGGGUUAGCGCAAGCGAAGCUCUUGAUCGAAGCCCCGGUAAACGGCGGCCGUAACUAUAACGGUCCUAAGGUAGCGAAAUUCCUUGUCGGGUAAGUUCCGACCUGCACGAAUGGCGUAAUGAUGGCCAGGCUGUCUCCACCCGAGACUCAGUGAAAUUGAACUCGCUGUGAAGAUGCAGUGUACCCGCGGCAAGACGGAAAGACCCCGUGAACCUUUACUAUAGCUUGACACUGAACAUUGAGCCUUGAUGUGUAGGAUAGGUGGGAGGCUUUGAAGUGUGGACGCCAGUCUGCAUGGAGCCGACCUUGAAAUACCACCCUUUAAUGUUUGAUGUUCUAACGUGGACCCGUGAUCCGGGUUGCGGACAGUGUCUGGUGGGUAGUUUGACUGGGGCGGUCUCCUCCUAAAGAGUAACGGAGGAGCACGAAGGUUGGCUAAUCCUGGUCGGACAUCAGGAGGUUAGUGCAAUGGCAUAAGCCAGCUUGACUGCGAGCGUGACGGCGCGAGCAGGUGCGAAAGCAGGUCAUAGUGAUCCGGUGGUUCUGAAUGGAAGGGCCAUCGCUCAACGGAUAAAAGGUACUCCGGGGAUAACAGGCUGAUACCGCCCAAGAGUUCAUAUCGACGGCGGUGUUUGGCACCUCGAUGUCGGCUCAUCACAUCCUGGGGCUGAAGUAGGUCCCAAGGGUAUGGCUGUUCGCCAUUUAAAGUGGUACGCGAGCUGGGUUUAGAACGUCGUGAGACAGUUCGGUCCCUAUCUGCCGUGGGCGCUGGAGAACUGAGGGGGCUGCUCCUAGUACGAGAGGACCGGAGUGGACGCAUCACUGGUGUUCGGGUUGUCAUGCCAAUGGCACUGCCCGGUAGCUAAAUGCGGAAGAGAUAAGUGCUGAAAGCAUCUAAGCACGAAACUUGCCCCGAGAUGAGUUCUCCCUGACCCUUUAAGGGUCCUGAAGGAACGUUGAAGACGACGACGUUGAUAGGCCGGGUGUGUAAGCGCAGCGAUGCGUUGAGCUAACCGGUACUAAUGAACCGUGAGGCUUAACCUU